rnacentral:rRNA from 1 species
GACGAACGCUGGCGGCGUGCCUAACACAUGCAAGUCGAACGGAGUUCCUUCGGGGACUUAGUGGCGAACGGGUGAGUAACGCGUGAGGAACCUGCCUUUCAGUGGGGGACAACAGUUGGAAACGACUGCUAAUACCGCAUAACACUUUAGUACCGCAUGGUACAGAAGUCAAAGCUUUAUGUGCUGAGAGAUGGUCUCGCGUCUGAUUAGCUAGAUGGCGGGGUAACGGCCCACCAUGGCGACGAUCAGUAGCCGGUCUGAGAGGAUGAACGGCCACAUUGGGACUGAGAUACGGCCCAGACUCCUACGGGAGGCAGCAGUGGGGAAUAUUGGGCAAUGGGGGAAACCCUGACCCAGCAACGCCGCGUGAAGGAAGAAGGCCUUCGGGUUGUAAACUUCUUUUACCAGGGACGAACAAAUGACGGUACCUGGAGAAAAAGCAACGGCUAACUACGUG